rnacentral:sRNA from 1 species
UCGCCGGCUCUGCCGAGCGGCGCGGCACUGGCCGGAGCAAGAGGAUCAAUAGAACAGCGGAUGAUCUUCAGGCCCGGCUAUUGCCGGGCCUUCGCUUA